rnacentral:rRNA from 1 species
UGGGGAAUAUUGCACAAUGGGCGCAAGCCUGAUGCAGCGACGCCGCGUGGGGGAUGACGGCCUUCGGGUUGUAAACCCCUUUCGGCGGGGAAGCAAGCCCUUCGGGGUGGAGGGUGACCCGCGGAACGAAGGCGCCGGCUAACUACGUGCCAGCAGCCGCGGUAAUACGUAGGGCGCGAGCGUUAUCCGGAAUUAUUGGGCGUAAAGAGCUCGUAGGCGGUUUGUCGCGUCUGCUGUGAAAGCCCGGGGCUCAACCCCGGGUCUGCAGUGGGUACGGGCAGGCUGGAGUGCAGUAGGGGAGACUGGAAUUCCUGGUGUAGCGGUGAAAUGCGCAGAUAUCAGGAGGAACACCGAUGGCGAAGGCAGGUCUUC